AGGUCAUAGUGAUCCGGUGGUUCUGAAUGGAAGGGCCAUCGCUCAACGGAUAAAAGGUACUCCGGGGAUAACAGGCUGAUACCGCCCAAGAGUUCAUAUCGACGGCGGUGUUUGGCACCUCGAUGUCGGCUCAUCACAUCCUGGGGCUGAAGUAGGUCCCAAGGGUAUGGCUGUUCGCCAUUUAAAGUGGUACGCGAGCUGGGUUUAGAACGUCGUGAGACAGUUCGGUCCCUAUCUGCCGUGGGCGCUGGAGAACUGAGGGGGGCUGCUCCUAGUACGAGAGGACCGGAGUGGACGCAUCACUGGUGUUCGGGUUGUCAUGCCAAUGGCACUGCCCGGUAGCUAAAUGCGGAAGAGAUAAGUGCUGAAAGCAUCUAAGCACGAAACUUGCCCCGA
rnacentral:rRNA from 2 species